rnacentral:lncRNA from 1 species
UAGAGUCAUUCCAGUUCCAGGAACCUGCACCUCGGGUUCCAUGAGUGUCUUUCUAGUUUCUUCAAAAGCCAUGGCUAUGACAAGACUUCCUGACUGACUGAUCCCCUGGCCAGAGUGAACAGCAGAGGGAAGAGCAGAAGUGAAUGGAACAGAGCUUCACAGCCCCAGCAAUGGCAUCUCCCUCAGAAGGACAAAAUGGUCCAAAUGGAGGCCCAGCUCUCUUGGGAUCAGGAGUGUGGAGGUCACCUGCUGGAUGAGCACCCUGCCUUCCUACUUCCUUUCACCAGCACCAUCUUUCUUCUGCCCCUCACACCUAUUUCUGCAGCACUGAAGAGCAGUGGGGAUGAAUCUCACAAAAUGAUGUUGCCCCAAAGAAGCCAAACCCAGGUCACAAGGGAGAUCUCAAUGAUCCCAAGAUGCUGUGAUGCUCCAGGACAAGACCACACCUGUGGGAGACGCCCUGGGAGGAACCAAAUCUUCAUCUGUGUAGUUCCUGGGAGGAACUAAAUCUUCAUCUGCAUAGUUCCUCAUUGUUCUUAGAUUACCGCGCUGCCCCCACCCAGUCUUUUGUUACACCUUGUUCAUCCCAAUAUGAUACUAAAAUCUACAUUAUUCAUUUGUUACAUUUGUUUCUUUGGAUGUACUAAAUAAAAGGUGCUGCAAGCUAGGGGUUUUUGUCUUUGCUGCCCAGAGCAGCACUGAUCAGAC